rnacentral:tRNA from 1 species
GGAGAGGUGGGUGAGUGGCUGAAACCACAUGUUUGCUAAACAUGCGAACGGGUUAAACCGUUCCGGGGGUUCGAAUCCCCCUCUCUCCG